rnacentral:tRNA from 1 species
GGGUUAUGUGAAUACCAGGGCUGGCUUCUAACCGGUGGCUGCGACGGGUUAAUGUCCGUUGAUGACUCA